UUAAGUUAUUAAGGGCGCACGGUGGAUGCCUUGGCACUAGAAGCCGAUGAAGGACGUUACUAACGACGAUAUGCUUUGGGGAGCUGUAAGUAAGCUUUGAUCCAGAGAUUUCCGAAUGGGGAAACCCAGCAUGAGUUAUGUCAUGUUAUCGAUAUGUGAAUACAUAGCAUAUCAGAAGGCACACCCGGAGAACUGAAACAUCUUAGUACCCGGAGGAAGAGAAAGAAAAUUCGAUUCCCUUAGUAGCGGCGAGCGAAACGGGAAGAGCCCAAACCAACAAGCUUGCUUGUUGGGGUUGUAGGACACUCUACGGAGUUACAAAGGACGACAUUAGACGAAUCAUCUGGAAAGAUGAAUCAAAGAAGGUAAUAAUCCUGUAGUCGAAAAUGUUGUCUCUCUUGAGUGGAUCCUGAGUACGACGGAGCACGUGAAAUUCCGUCGGAAUCUGGGAGGACCAUCUCCUAAGGCUAAAUACUCUCUAGUGACCGAUAGUGAACCAGUACCGUGAGGGAAAGGUGAAAAGCACCCCGGAAGGGGAGUGAAAUAGAACCUGAAACCGUGUGCUUACAAGUAGUCAGAGCCCGUUAAUGGGUGAUGGCGUGCCUUUUGUAGAAUGAACCGGCGAGUUACGAUUUGAUGCAAGGUUAAGCAGUAAAUGUGGAGCCGUAGCGAAAGCGAGUCUAGGGCGUUUAGUAUUUGGUCGUAGACCCGAAACCAGGUGAUCUACCCUUGGUCAGGUUGAAGUUCAGGCUGAAUGGAGGACCGAACCGACUUACGUUGAAAAGUGAGCGGAUGAACUGAGGGUAGCGGAGAAAUUCCAAUCGAACCUGGAGAUAGCUGGUUCUCUCCGAAAUAGCUUUAGGGCUAGCCUCAAGUGAUGAUUAUUGGAGGUAGAGCACUGUUUGGACGAGGGGCCGGUUACCGAAUUCAGACAAACUCCGAAUGCCAAUUAAUUUAACUUGGGAGUCAGAACAUGGGUGAUAAGGUCCGUGUUCGAAAGGGAAACAGCCCAGACCACCAGCUAAGGUCCCAAAAUAUAUGUUAAGUGGAUGUGGCGUUGCCCAGACAACGUCGAGUGACACUGCGCCGAAAAUGUACCGGGGCUAAACAUAUUACCGAAGCUGUGGAUUGUCCUUUGGACAAUGGUAGGAGAGCGUUCUAAGGGCGUUGAAGCAUGAUCGUAAGGACAUGUGGAGCGCUUAGAAGUGAGAAUGCCGGUGUGAGUAGCGAAAGACGGGUGAGAAUCCCGUCCACCGAUUGACUAAGGUUUCCAGAGGAAGGCUCGUCCGCUCUGGGUUAGUCGGGUCCUAAGCUGAGGCCGACAGGCGUAGGCGAUGGAUAACAGGUUGAUAUUCCUGUACCACCUAUAAUCGUUUUAAUCGAUGGGGGGACGCAGUAGGAUAGGCGAAGCGUGCGAUUGGAUUGCACGUGAUUUCACACUGCCGAGAAAAGCCUCUAGAUAGAAAAUAGGUGCCCGUACCGCAAACCGACACAGGUAGUCAAGAUGAGAAUUCUAAGGUGAGCGAGCGAACUCUCGUUAAGGAACUCGGCAAAAUGACCCCGUAACUUCGGGAGAAGGGGUGCUCUUUAGGGUUAACGCCCAGAAGAGCCGCAGUGAAUAGGCCCAAGCGACUGUUUAUCAAAAACACAGGUCUCUGCUAAACCGUAAGGUGAUGUAUAGGGGCUGACGCCGCCCGGUGCUGGAAGGUUAAGAGGAGUGGUUAGCUUCUGCGAAGCUACGAAUCGAAGCCCCAGUAAACGGCGGCCGUAUAACGGUCCUAAGGUAGCGAAAUUCCUUGUCGGGUAAGUUCCGACCCGCACGAAAGGCGUAACGAUUUGGGCACUGUCUCAACGAGAGACUCGGUGAAAUCAUAGUACCUGUGAAGAUGCAGGUUACCCGCGACAGGACGGAAAGACCCCGUGGAGCUUUACUGUAGCCUGAUAUUGAAAUUCGGCACGCUUGUACAGGAUAGGUAGGAGCCUUUGAAACGUGAGCGCUAGCUUACGUGGAGGCGCUGGUGGGAUACUACCCAGCUGUGUUGGCUUUCUAACCCGCACCACUUAUCGUGGUGGGAGACAGUGUCAGGCGGGCAGUUUGACUGGGGCGGUCGCCUCCUAAAAGGUAACGGAGGCGCUCAAAGGUUCCCUCAGAAUGGUUGGAAAUCAUUCAUAGAGUGUAAAGGCAUAAGGGAGCUUGACUGCGAGACCUACAAGUCGAGCAGGGUCGAAAGACGGACUUAGUGAUCCGGUGGUUCCGCAUGGAAGGGCCAUCGCUCAACGGAUAAAAGCUACCCCGGGGAUAACAGGCUUAUCUCCCCCAAGAGUUCACAUCGACGGGGAGGUUUGGCACCUCGAUGUCGGCUCAUCGCAUCCUGGGGCUGUAGUCGGUCCCAAGGGUUGGGCUGUUCGCCCAUUAAAGCGGUACGCGAGCUGGGUUCAGAACGUCGUGAGACAGUUCGGUCCCUAUCCGUCGUGGGCGUAGGAAAUUUGAGAGGAGCUGUCCUUAGUACGAGAGGACCGGGAUGGACAUACCUCUGGUGUACCAGUUGUCGUGCCAACGGCAUAGCUGGGUAGCUAUGUGUGGACGGGAUAAGUGCUGAAAGCAUCUAAGCAUGAGCCCCCCUCAAGAUGAGAUUUCCCAACUUCGGUUAUAAGAUCCCUCAAAGAUGAUGAGGUUAAUAGGUUCGAGGUGGAAGCAUGGUGACAUGUGGAGCUGACGAAUACUAAUCGAUCGAACUUAAU
rnacentral:rRNA from 1 species